GAUCAUGGCUCAGGAUGAACGCUAGCGACAGGCUUAACACAUGCAAGUCGAGGGGCAGCGAAGAGGUAGCAAUACCUUUGCCGGCGACCGGCGCGCGGGUGAGUAACACGUAUGCAAUCCACCUGUAACAGGGGGAUAACCCGGAGAAAUCCGGACUAAUACCCCAUAAUAUGGGCGCUCCGCAUGGAGAGCCCAUUAAAGAGAGCAAUUUUGGUUACAGACGAGCAUGCGCUCCA
rnacentral:rRNA from 1 species